rnacentral:rRNA from 1 species
GACGAACGCUGGCGGCGUGCUUAACACAUGCAAGUCGAACGGAAAGGCCCUGCUUUUGUGGGGUGCUCGAGUGGCGAACGGGUGAGUAACACGUGAGUAACCUGCCCUUGACUUUGGGAUAACUUCAGGAAACUGGGGCUAAUACCGGAUAGGAGCUCCUGCUGCAUGGUGGGGGUUGGAAAGUUUCGGCGGUUGGGGAUGGACUCGCGGCUUAUCAGCUUGUUGGUGGGGUAGUGGCGUACCAAGGCUUUGACGGGUAGCCGGCCUGAGAGGGUGACCGGCCACAUUGGGACUGAGAUACGGCCCAGACUCCAACGGGAGGCAGCAGUGGGGAAUAUUGCACAGUGGGCGGAAGCCUGAUGCAGCAACGCCGCGUGCGGGAUGACGGCCUUCGGGUUGUAAACCGCUUUCGCCUGUGACGAAGCGUGAGUGACGGUAAUGGGUAAAGAAGCACCGGCUAACUACGUG